CCUACGGGCGGCAGCAGUGAGGAAUAUUGGUCAAUGGUCGGGAGACUGAACCAGCCAAGCCGCGUGAGGGAGGAAGGUACAGAGUAUCGUAAACCUCUUUUGUCAGGGAACAAAGACUGGGACGCGUCCCCGGAUGAGUGUACCUGAAGAAAAAGCAUCGGCUAACUCCGUGCCAGCAGCCGCGGUAAUACGGAGGAUGCGAGCGUUAUCCGGAUUUAUUGGGUUUAAAGGGUGCGCAGGCGGUCUGUUAAGUCAGCGGUCAAAGCCCGGGGCCCAACCCCGGGACUGCUCUUGGAACUGUGCGGCUAGAGUGCGGGAGGGGCAGGCGGAAUUCCUGGUGUAGCGGUGAAAUGCGUAGAUAUCAGGAGGAACACCGGCGGCGAAGGCGGCCUGCUGGACCGCGACUGACGUUGAGGCUCGAAAGCGUGGGGAGCGAACAGGAUUAGAUACCCCAGUAGUC
rnacentral:rRNA from 1 species